GCUUGGAGUCAAUGACCGCUCGGCCCGAGUUGAAAAAGUGUGCAUGCGAGCGUAAAUACGAGAAUAAUCGGCGUGUCACGAAAUCACAGUUUUGUCUUAGCGAUGUUAAGUCCAUGGUAUUUCAGGUCCAUGCUUCUGGUUCGAUCUUUAGAGCUUGUAGGCCUGCCGCAUCAUGAGAUCGAAGAAGCAAUCGUUGUCGAUGGACACGCUGAUGCCGCUGUAGUAGUUCAUGAACUCCUCAAGCGUUACCUGAAAGCAG